GACGAACGCUGGCGGCGUGCUUAACACAUGCAAGUCGAACGGAAAGGCCCUGCUUUUGUGGGGUGCUCGAGUGGCGAACGGGUGAGUAACACGUGAGUAACCUGCCCUUGACUUUGGGAUAACUUCAGGAAACUGGGGCUAAUACCGGAUAGGAGCUCCUGCUGCAUGGUGGGGGUUGGAAAGUUUCGGCGGUUGGGGAUGGACUCGCGGCUUAUCAGCUUGUUGGUGGGGUAGUGGCUUACCAAGGCUUUGACGGGUAGCCGGCCUGAGAGGGUGACCGGCCACAUUGGGACUGAGAUACGGACGAGACUCCUACGGGAGGCAGCAGUGGGGAAUAUUGCACAAUGGGCGGAAGUCUGAUGCAGCAACGCCGCGUGCGGGAUGAUGGCCUUAGGGUUGUAAAACGCUGUCGACUGUGACGAAGCGUGAGUGACGGGAAUGGGUAAAGAAGCACCGGAUAACUACG
rnacentral:rRNA from 1 species